GGGCGCAUGGUGUAGUUGGUUAUCACGCUCGCUUAGCAUUCACUACAUGGUCUGCGAGAGGUGUUGGGUUCAAUUCCCAAUGCGUCCA